AUGCUUCCAGGAGUUGAAUGUGCUAGAAAGAGACGGUUGCAUCAAAGCAGAGUAAGAGAAGGAGGACGUGGUGAUCCCACGACAACACGUUCAUUCUGUUUAUAUACCAGAAACGUUCAAUCUACUCCUUCUCCUUCAAUACUCUCUUUACUGGAAAGAAGCAUGUUAAAGCAGAAACAGUCAUUGAUUGAUGAGAAACUGGGAGGAUCAACAAGAGAAGCCAAACGGAGACUAGAUGAGAAGCUUACAGCAGGUAUGAAGUCGGAAGAAAAUCAACAGCAGAAAAGAAAAAGUAUUUUUCAUGGUUUAUUGCGGCAAUUCAAAUCUUAA